CGGCAACAGCUCAAAUUUGAAAUCUGGCCUCUUUCGGGGUCCGAGUUGUAAUUUGUAGAGGAUGCCUCGGAGGGCGUGUCGGUCCAAGUGCCUUGGAACAGGAUACCGCAGAGGGUGAGAGUCCCGUAUCCGGCCGACGUGGCGCUCCGUGUGAGGCUCCUUCGAC
rnacentral:rRNA from 1 species